rnacentral:rRNA from 1 species
CUAAUGGGGAAUUGCAGAUGCCUUGUGCACAAAGAUUUUGAACGCCCGUUGCACCAUCGGGUUGAUUCCCGGUAGUACGUCUGGUUGAGGGUCAAUGAA